rnacentral:misc_RNA from 1 species
UCUCCGUUGGUGAACCAGCGGAGGGAUCAUUACCGAGUUAUCAACUCCCAAACCCCUGUGAACAUACCCAACGUUGCUUCGGCGGGACCCCCCCGGCGCCCUCGGCGUCCCGGAACCAGGCGCCCGCCGGAGGACCCAAACUCUUGUUUAAACCAUAGUGGCAUAUUCUGAGUCUCACAAGAAAAAUGAAUCAAAACUUUCAACAACGGAUCUCUUGGCUCUG